rnacentral:rRNA from 1 species
AUACGAAGGGGGCUAGCGUUGUUCGGAAUUACUGGGCGUAAAGCGCGCGUAGGCGGAUUGGUCAGUUAGGGGUGAAAUCCCAGGGCUUAACCCUGGAACUGCCCCUAAUACUGCCAGUCUUGAGUUCGGGAGAGGUGAGUGGAAUUCCUAGUGUAGAGGUGAAAUGCGUAGAUAUUAGGAAGAACACCAGUGGCGAAGGCGGCUCACUGGCCCGAUACUGACGCUGAGGCGCGAAAGCGUGGGGAGCAAACAGGAUUAGAAACCCUAGUAGUCC